UUCGGGAUGCCGGCGAGUGGCGAACGGGUGAGUAAUACGUGGAAACCUGUCCUUGGGUGGGGGAUAACAGCUGGAAACGGCUGCUAAUACCGCAUACGCCCUAAGGGGGAAAGAUUCAUUGCCCGAGGAGGGGUCCACGUCGGAUUAGCUAGUUGGUAGGGUAACGGCCUACCAAGGCGACGAUCCGUAGCUGGUCUGAGAGGAUGGACAGCCACACUGGGACUGAGACACGGCCCAGACUCCUACGGGAGGCAGCAGUGGGGAAUAUUGCGCGAUGGGGGAAACCCUGACGCAGCGAUGCCGCGUGGGUGAAGAAGGCCUUCGGGUUGUAAAGCCCUUUCAGUGGGGAAGAUAGUGACGGUACCCACAGAAGAAGCUCCGGCUAACUCCGUGCCAGCAGCCGCGGUAAUACGGAGGGGGCGAGCGUUGUUCGGAAUUACUGGGCGUAAAGGGCGCGUAGGCUGUGAGGCAAG
rnacentral:rRNA from 1 species